GGAGGCCUGUCCGAGCGGCCGAUGGAGCUGGUCUUGAAAACCAGUGAACAGAAAUGUUUCGUGGGUUCGAAUCCCACGGCCUCCG
rnacentral:tRNA from 1 species